rnacentral:rRNA from 1 species
UACGGAGGGUGCAAGCGUUAUCCGGAUUUACUGGGUUUAAAGGGUGCGUAGGUGGGCAGAUAAGUCAGCGGUGAAAUCUCCGGGCUUAACUCGGAAACUGCCAUUGAUACUAUUUAUCUUGAAUAUCCUGGAGGUGAGCGGAAUAUGUCAUGUAGCGGUGAAAUGCUUAGAUAUGACAUAGAACACCCAUUGCGAAGGCAGCUCACUACGGGAUCAUUGACACUGAGGCACGAAAGCGUGGGGAGUCAAACAGG